rfam:Streptomyces cattleya DSM 46488, complete genome.
GGGAAGACUCCUUUACUCGGAUCGUCCGGCACGUUCCUGCCGGUGAACGGAGCACUUC